CCUGCAUAUCUUAAUUAGACUGAUUCGGAUUGUUCUAAACAUCAAGGAUGAACGUUAUCCUAACUCUGGUCGUAGGUUCCUGUGCUGUUUUAUGCAUGCAUUCUGGUGCCGACGCCCAAUUCAAUUACGCUCAAAGAAAUCAGGAUUAUCGGAAUCAAGGCAGCUUUAUAAACGAAGGCCAGUUGUUACGUAACCAAGGCCAGUUUCUGCCUAACCAAGAUCAAUAUAAACGUAACCAAGGCCAAUUCUUGCCAGGUCAAGAUCUUUGGAACCGUGGUUUAUUAAGUCAGGAUCGACAAUGGAGAGGACAGGGCAACAAUUUUGCUGGUAUUGCAACCAGCUUUUCAUCUAGACCUAGAAGAUAUAAAAGAUCAUUAUACAGACCUACCAGAAAUAACGGAAGAGGUAACCAAGGAAACAAUGGUGGACAGCGGUUUAAUCAAAGACAGACAACCCCCGAUUUAUGGAGAAGCCGGGGUCAACAAUGGAGAAAUCAAGACCGGGUAAAUGGUAAUCGAGGUCAACAAUGGGGCGCUAGAGGUCAACAAUGGAGAAAUCAAGACAAUGUAAAAGGAAACCAAGGCCAGGGUCUCUGGGAACGCGACGGCCUUCCCAGAAAUCAAGGUCAAUUUGGAAGAAAUGGCAAGGAUCAGCUUUCUAGAGGUCAUGGUCAGAUUCUUGAUAUUCCAACUGAAAUUUCUGCUCAACCCAGAAGAUAUAAAAGAUCAUUAUACAGACCUACCAGUAAUAACAGAUGGGGUAACCAAGAAAACAAUGGUGGGCAGUGGUUUAAUCAAAGACAGACAACUUCCGAUUUAAUGGCUCAAAGGGCUUUUAGAAACCGAGGACAAGGGUUUGAAAACCAAGGGCAACUAUGGAGAAACAACCAAGACCACCGUUUCACAAACCAGGGACAAUCCUACAGUAGAAGAUAUUGAAAUCCAUGAUUAAACUUGACAGAAACGUUUAUCAUUGACCUUGUUUAAAUCGGAGUUUUAUUGUGAUAUAUUUUGAUAAGUGUAAAGUAGGCCAUAUAAUGUAAUCUAUGUUUUUAUGAUUUUAUUUAUAAGUGCAAUGCCCUACCAUUAUUAUUAUAUUUUCGUAGCAAAAUA